CGAACGGGGUGAGUAAUGCGUGACCAACCUGCCCCAUGCUCCAGAAUAGCUCUUGGAAACGGGUGGUAAUGCUGGAUGCUCCAACUUGACGCAUGUCUUGUUGGGAAAGUGUUUAGUGGCAUGGGAUGGGGUCGCGUCCUAUCAGCUUGUAGGCGGGGUAAUGGCCCACCUAGGCUUCGACGGGUAGCCGGCCUGAGAGGGCGGACGGCCACAUUGGGACUGAGAUACGGCCCAGACUCCUACGGGAGGCAGCAGA
rnacentral:rRNA from 1 species